GGCCAUAUCACAUUGAAACACUGGUACCCGAAUGAUCACCAAUGUUAAGCAAUGUCAAGCCUAGUCAGUACCUAGAUGGGUGACUGCUUGGGAAUAGCAGGUGCUGUAAG